AGAGUUUGAUCUUGGCUCAGGAUGAACGCUGGCGGCGUGCUUAACACAUGCAAGUCGAACGAAGCAACUUAUCACGAUCCCUUCGGGGUGACGAUUUGUUGACUGAGUGGCGGACGGGUGAGUAACGCGUGGGUAACCUACCUUGUACAGGGGGACAACAGUUGGAAACGACUGCUAAUACCGCAUAAGCCCACAGGACCGCAUGGUCCAGGGGGAAAAGAUUCAUCGCUACGAGAUGGACCCGCGUUUGAUUAGUUAGUUGGCGGUGUAACGGACCACCAAGACGACGAUCAAUAGCCGGACUGAGAGGUUGAACGGCCACAUUGGGACUGAGACACGGCCCAAACUCC
rnacentral:rRNA from 1 species